rnacentral:rRNA from 1 species
GACGAACGCUGGCGGCGUGCUUAACACAUGCCAGUCGAACGGAAAGGCCCUGCUUUUGUGGGGUGCUCGAGUGGCGAACGGGUGAGUAACACGUGAGUAACCUGCCCUUGACUUUGGGAUAACUUCAGGAAACUGGGGCUAAUACCGGAUAGGAUCUCCUGCUGCAUGGUGGGGGUUGGAAAGUUUCGGCGGUUGGGGAUGGACUCGCGGCUUAUCAGCUUGUUGGUGGGGUAGUGGCUUACCAAGGCUUUGACGGGUAGCCGGCCUGGGAGGGUGACCGGCCACAUUGGGACUGAGAUACGGCCCAGACGCAUACGGGAGGCAGCAGUGGGAAAUAUUGCACAAUGGGCGGAAGCCUGAUGCAGCAACGCCGCGUGCGGGAUGACGGCCUUCGGGUUGUAAACCGCUUUCGCCUGUGACGAAGCGUGAGUGACGGUAAUGAGUAAAGAAGCACCGGCUAACUACGUG